rnacentral:misc_RNA from 1 species
UGAUAGCAUAAUUAUAAUUUUUUUAAUUUUUAAUAUUUUUUUUUUAAUUUUUGCGCCUUACCUCACUCGAGUGCGCGCUUGCGCCUUGCGCCUAGGCUCCAGGACCCCUUGGCGCCUUAGUAGGCUUUGAGCCUUUAAUAACUAUGGACUUAAGAACUGCUUAUGCUUCCUCCAAGUUUUGAGAUUUCAUUUACUUGUAGGUCUAGUUAUUGUUUAGUAUCCGUAAUUUUACUGGUAACCACAUGCUUUUAUUGCAAUGACUUCAUGAAUGUGCUAUAAUAUCUUCUAACACUCAUUGAUUUGGUCCUAUUGAUUAAGAUGAGCUUUGUGAUUAUUGUCUUGUAUGGUUCUGUUUGUGUUUUUAAUUUUCUUGUAUGCAUACAAUCUUCUAGUAACUUUUUGAUCAAUAAAAAUGAUUUUUUUUGUAUAAAUUUCAAUUAAAAAUAAAUUUAUGUAUGCUGUAUUCCCUUAUAUCACUUCUGUCUGACUGCUGAAGCCUCACUUUUCCCCUUGCUUGAAUUUGUUUAAAUUUGCAACAUGUAUCCAUCUAACCUUCUCCAGUUGUGCAUUGGCAGUACCAUGAUGAUAAAACUUGUAUAAAAGAUGCAUUGAAAACAGGGAAGGUAAGAAAUCACAUGCACCUUGUGUUUUGUUCCACUGUUAUUUUAAAAUUUCCAAUGUAUCUAUCCCCAGAUUACCAUGUCAUCAACAUGGACAUUUGAAGACUUUAAGGCUGCCAUUUCUGAUGAUGUUAGUUCCCCACCAAUAUCAGACAUCAAUUUAAAGGUGUUAAUUCUUUUUCCUAGUUAGACUUUAAGGAUACUGAUUCUGAUGAUAGCUUUUCCUAAGACUACAUAGAUAUUAAUAGAGAUCCACAAACUAUUCCUACUUGGAUUAGUAACCCUAAAAUUGGAAAAAAAUUCUUAAUCUAUUAGAUAGGAGGCAAACAACUAUAUAACUAAGAAAAUUCCUAAAUAAUAUUAAAACCUAUAGCUAUAAUUCCUAAAUAAGAAGAUCCUAGACAGAAGGGUAUAUCAUACUCCUAAGUAGAAAAUUUAGAAGAAUUGAAAUUAUAUAAACUAAGAAAUAAGUCAAAAUAAUUUGUUAAUUUCUCUCUCUUGGACCGCCUCUUCUAUGCUUUAAUGGGCAAUAUUUCAGUAAAGUUUUACUAUGCUACCUAGGAAGAAUCCAAUGCUCCAUUAGCAUCUGUGCUGUUCAUAACUACUCACAAGCAAUGGGUUUGGGAUUGCAUUCCUUGGACCUGUUGUUUUUUGUGUUGCAGUCCACACAUCAUUUAAGUGCCAUGUAUAUUGUUUAUAUGGGACUGGUCGUUGCUUCUUUAUUUGCUGCCUGGUGUUGCUUCUAAUCAGUCAUUCUUGGGAUUAUCCUGGUUAUUGCAUUCAUUAAUUGUGAAUCUUCUCCAAUGAAUAAUCAACUAUGAUUAUUGAGUUGGAUUAUGAGCGGAGUGUGUAAUCUUACAUAAGAUUUUGAUUUUUCUCUAUUCUUCAAAGCUUUUAUAUGGCAAGCUAGUUGAAAGGGCCAAGGAGAAGAAGGAGAAAGAAGCUAAAAAGCGGCAAUGCCUUGCUGAUGACUUCACGAAACUAUCAUAUACUUAUACGGUAUGGAAAUGUUGCGCAUAGUCUUGUCUUCUGUCUAUUCUUGAGCCUACUAGUUUUAUUCUGUCUUGGUAGGAUAACUGCAUAUUGUAGUUGGGAUGAUUGCAAACAACUUUUUGAAGAAAGCCGAGAGUACAGAUCAAUAGGGGUAGAGAGUUUUAGCAGGGGGGUGUUUGAGGAAUAUUUUGCGUACUUGCAGGGAAAGGCUAAAGAGAAGGAAUGCAAGCGCAGGAGGAAAAGGUGCCUAAUUUUUCCUUGUUCUUAAGAAUCUGUGGGAGUCUGGCUGGAUGCUGUUGCCUUGGGCAAUCUGUGUGUUUUUCCUUUUCAGGAAUGUAGCAUCUUGCGUUCUUGUGUGUGUAAGAUUUUUGCAGAGUUCAGUUCUUUAUUAGUAUUGUUAUUUUUUUUACUUUUUCAGCUGUCAGAAAAGGAGAGAGAGGGAGGAAAAAGAGAAGCGGAAAGAGAGAAAAGAGAAGGAGAAGGAGAAGGAACCUGAAAGGGAAAAGGGGAAGGAAAGAACAAAAAAGGAUAAAACAGAUGGUGAAAAUGUUGAUCCAACUGAAAACUAUAGCCAUAAAGAGGGCAAAAAAAUGGGAAAAGACAAGGAUAGGAAACAUCGGAGACAGCAUCAAAGUGGUACUGUCUAUGUAAGUUUUGACAAAGAGGAGGAGGAAUCUAAAAAAUCACGCAGACAUGGCAGUGACCGUAAACAAUCAAGAAAGCAUUCAUACUUACCUGAGUUGGAUAAUGAAAGCCGGCAAAAAUGGCAUAAGAUAGAUCACCGCGAUGGUCCGUAGAAAUGACGGCUACAAGGAGUUAGAAGACGCGGAGGUUGGUGAGGAUGGGGAGAUUGUCCGUAUGUCCUCGUUUUGCAUGCAUAGUGCCAAGUAAAUCAGAUGAGGAUUGUGCAGUCAGAUUCAUUCAGUGUUGAUGAACAGGAAUUAGUGGCAAGUGAAAAGAAGCUGACUGGCUUUUACUGCUUUAAUUUGUGAAUGCAACCAUAAGAGCAACUUCUGUUUAGGGGGGAAAAAAAAAAAGAAAUCCAAAACCACAGUAGAAUUGAAAUGGAACAUCACUAGUUUUAAUUCAGAGUUGUAAUUGAAUGGUUAAAUCCUAUGAUCUUCAUGAAAAUUUAUUUGCACUACUUGUGGUAGUUUAAACAUCAACAUCAGCGAGGCAAUAAUUUUAUCUAGCAUUGAAAUCUUUUUUCCGUUAUCUGAGCUGGAGUAUUCCUUCCAGGCCUGGCGAAUGGAAAGUGUAGCAGCCGUCUGAUUGUUCUUGGUGUGCUGUGUGGGGUUGCAUUUAGCAAUAUGUUAUUGUGAAAUAGGCUUAAUGCAUCCUUAUAUUUAUUGGGAUGUUGAAUUUUAUUUAUUUUUAACUUUUUAUUAAAAUUAGUUUAAAAGUUUUAAUUUAGUCUCAAUUUAGCUCUAAAAUCAAGAAACUAAGCUUGUUGCUUUUGGGCUAAAUCUUGUAAUUAAGAAAUUGUUCUGGAUUUUUGAUUUAAA